AUAUUUUUGCAUUGUCAUAGGAUCAAUUUCUGUAAGUUGAAUAGCAGUGAUGGGUAUACAUAUUUUGAGGCUUUUAUUGCCAAACUGUCUUCACAAAGGUCACUCCAAUUUAUAUGUUUACCAUGAAAUUAUGAAAGUCUCUAUUUCCCUGCACUCACAUCAACACUAUAUAUUUUAAUUAAAAAAAAUCGUCAUUCUGAUGAAUAAAACAUAUCAUGAAUAAAUAGUAUGGAGGAACAAAGCGGAUCAUGUAAAAGUGGCUCUGUAUACUGGAUGAUAUACAAAUGUUCAUUGUUAAAGUACUUAUUACAGUGGUUGGAAGCUUCUUGAGAACAGUGUCUAGCACAGUGCAUGACAUAUGAUAUGGUAUUAAAAAUUAUCAUCCCCUGAACUGAAAGUAGACAGAGGAUGUAGACUUGUAUUAACUCAUGGGUAUAUCAUCAACCUGAACUAGAAAGAUGCCUGAUCACUAAAACAUCUCACAAUUUCAAUCCUUCCACUCAGAGGUAGGUACUCAAACAGGAGAAUUGCCAGGCCUGGUCCUCACGAGGAGAUGAAUACCCUAGAACCUGGCUUAGGACAGUCACAAUGGGCCUCGGAACCUUCUUCCCCUCCAUCUCCUCUGCAUAUUGGCCUUUUGCUUAUUCCAGUUUUGCUCUCCAGCCCUUCCCUGAUUCCCAAGUCUGGUUCUUUAAGUUAACUGAGAAUGUGUUCUGUUACAAAUUCAGAAGUCUCUCCCCUAGUCCUUCUGGCCUGUUUGCCUGCUCUGCCUUUCCCCUUUUCUCUUCUGUUGGGACCUGGAGAUCUUCUGACAGAGCCCUGUGAGCUGAGCAGCUCCAGCAGUUGGAUCUCCAUGAAUUACCAAGGGAUGUAAAGACUUAGAAGAGAGUUACAAGAGGAAAUGUAAAACCAUCCAUUUUUACCAAAAUUAAAUGUGCAAAAGGCUACAUA
rnacentral:lncRNA from 1 species